ACCCUCCCAACUCAUUUCUCUUGGUCAGCCAAAGGAAGAAAAGGGAAGAAAAGAAGAAGAACAAAACCCUAGCUAAGAAAUUCAAGGGAAAAUCACUAGAUUUCAAGGAAUCAAGACAUCAAAGGUGAAAUUUCUUAACUCUAGCUUGUGAUCUAUCUUUCCUAUGCAUUCUUUUGCAUUUUCUAUGGUUGAAUCACAAGAUAUCAUGAAGGAUUCAUGGCUGAUCGAAUUUAGAGAGAGAAUAUUUGAUGAUUUAUUUGGUUAGAUUUUGAGAUAUUUUAGUGUUUUUAGUUGAUUUAUCAUGUUUGGAAGGAAAACAAGCAAGAAAAAUCACGUAUUCUUCAUGGAUUCUUCAUUGGCCGAAUUUCAUAAAGAAAAUAUUGAAGAUGAAUCUUGUGAUGUCUUAUGUUAUUUAGUUAGAAUAUAAUGAAUUGUGGUGGUGGAAAUUGAAAAUGGUAAUGUUUAGCAUGAAAAAUCGUAUACCCCUAAAGAACCUCCAUGGCCGAAUUUUUCCAAGAGAAAAUGUGAGGAUGAUUAUACCAUAUUUCAAGUUAUUUAAUUUGUGUUUGAUGAUUUGGAGUAUUGGCAGAGAAAUGGAAUUAUUUGGAGUUGAAUUUGACGUAUUGGCCAAUUAAUCGGGUGAUAGAUCGCAUUAGGCCAAUACAAUUUUAUUUAGGUACACAAUUGAACUUAUAUUGAACGCCGUAUUUAGAUGGUUACCCGAGCAUUUCACAUCCCAUUUCACGCAUUAGUAUACAACUUGAAUUAGUUUUAUAACAGUUUAGCACAAAUGCAGUAAAUGGCUUAUUGUGCAUUAUGUUUAGGUGGUGAGCUUUGUGGUAAAAAUAAAGAGAUAGUACCCGAGGACCAAGAAUCGGAGUACUCGAAACUCGAUUUCCAUUACAAUGAGUAACCUUAUUAUCAUGUUAAUUAUCUAAAGUAUGUUUUUAUUCGAUUUUGUAAUUUUAUGAAAAAUGUGUUUAAAUGAAAUGAUUUUAUAAAUUGUUUUGAAAUUUAAUGAUGACUUGAAAAUAGAGUAAUUGGAGACUACUUGUUGUAUUGUAAAUUAUGUUUUCAAUUGAAUGGCUUAUGAUAAUGUGGGCAUGAAUGGCUGGAUGGGUAUUUGUGUUGAAAAUGCAUAAACUGUUGUUUGCCUUGAUAGGCUGGAUAAUGAUAAAAUUACCAUGUCAUGCUGUUGAAUUUUUAUUGAAUUGGUGGGUUUUAGAUUGGUCACUGCAGUGACGGGUUCUGUGGACCAGCCUAUUAGAGGGGCACGAAAUCCAGGUAUAUUCUUACCUCGAUUGGAGAGGUGCGUAGGGUAACUCUUGAGGUAAAACUUUAGAGUUCACUUCACGCUGAACCACUACGUGAGGGUGAACUCAGCCAAAGCCAAAGAACGGCUAUGUUUUCAAAAUAAAAACAUGAUUUAUGCAUACAUUACUUUUUAAUAGCCUUGGCGGAUUCAGUUGGGAUAGCCCUAGGCCAAGGUAUCCUUGACAACUGAAUAUGAGAAUGAUUUUGGCAUGAGCCAAGCUUUUUAGGAAAUCAUAAGUCUUGUUGUUUAUUUGGGUGGAAUGAAUCUAUUUUAUCUUAUUAAAAUGAGUUCGAAAUGCUGUAAAUCAUUUUUAUGCUAAUUUAUUUUAUCUAUCUCCAUUUGCUCAGCUAUAGAUAUUUUAGAUGGUAUUUGUUUACUCACUAGGACUAUAUAAUCUCACCACCCUCCUUUUCACCCAUUUCAGGCUCAGGAUAGUCAGUAGAUAGCUCAUUUCGUUGAGGGUUACAAUUAGAUUUGCAUCCUCAAAAACUGUUGGUUCACAGCCUUCAUUACUUUUAGUCAUUCGGGGGCCCAGAUGUCAUUGUUAAAUGAUUUGAAUACUUGGCUGCAUGUGCUCCUGUAUGUAGGAAUUUAUUUUGCUUUUACGUUGUAAAAAAUUAUUUACAUAGCGUUCUAUAAAAAUUGUUUUAUGAAAAAUUGGAAUAUUU
rnacentral:lncRNA from 1 species